UAUAACCUUUUGUCAGUAAGGGAACUAAUUCAAAUAACUAUAAGGUGAUAUUCGGCAUGGAAGACAUAGAAAUUGUGGGAAAAAACCAUGUUAUUUUGCAAAAAGGGGAAUAACCUACAUAUCUUGAAAUUAAAGCCUAUAAAAGAUGAGGUUUGUAUAAGUUUGGAAGCAAGUCAGAUCUAAAAGGCUGAACUGUGACGCAGAGAGUUGACCAUUUGGAUAAAAAAGGUAUGAGAAUUCUAGGACUACCAAUAAACAGUGACAAUUGCUCCAUGUGUGUGGAAGGCAAAGCUGCAAGACCCAUUUUUUUAUGAAAGAAAGAAACAAUCUCAAAAAAUAGGAGAUUUGAUACACUUCAAUACAUCAGGAUCAGUAACUCCAUGUACUCUAGAUAGACAUAGGUAUUUUCAAGUGGUGACAGAUGACUACACCUACUUACAGUAAUGUAUCUAUUAAAACAAAAGAACGAAGCUGAAGAAAAUUUUAAAAAUUAGCAGAAAUUAAAACCCAAUGAGGAAUAGUAGUAAAAAAUGUAAGACUAGAUAAUGGUAAAGAAUUCACAUCAAGUUCAUUCAAAAACUACUGCAAAUCACGAGUAAUAAGAAUUUAGUAUAUGUGCCCAUACACACCCCAGCAAAAUGGCAAGUCUAUAAUAGAACUAGGAUCAAGUUCAUCAAGAGGAAGUUACCAAAGACCCUAUGGUGAGAAGCAAUUAGAUGUUCAGCUUACAAACUAAAUAGAAGCCUAACAAAUGCCAAUGAGAAUUUGAUAUGUAAUCGUAUAUAUAAUAUAUGAGAUAUUAAAAGAAUAAUUAAGACUUCUUGUAUCUAAUUAUGAUUUUUCGAGGUACGUAAUGUCACGAUUAAUCGGCGAAACAAUCGGAAAAUACUGCGUAAUAAAAGAGAACAUGUCCAUUAUUAUUAUUUACAAAAAACAAUUUACAUUACUACUUAAAUCAAACCUUAUCUAACUCUGAUUUAGUUGUAUAUUAUUACGAAUGAAAAAGUAUAUGACGUAUAAAAUCGUAGAGAUGCGAAAACUCCAAAAAUCAUCUAGAAUAUUUAAAUAAUUGUACUCAUUUAACAAGAAAAACCAAUUUCCUAUAAUAACUGAUCUAGCAAAGCUUUUAAAAGAAUAUUGCGCAUACGAGAGAAUGAAACAGUCCGUUUGGAAUCGUAGAACAUCAUUGCGUGUUUAUAAAGACGUCUACAAGAGGAAUUUCCUUAGCGAUUCAGAUCCAGAGAUUCGUCGCGCCGCUGCUCUUUGCAGUUAACUCCGAUUAUCUUUUUCGCACGCAUAGCUACGCGUGACCUGCAAUUUUGCUAGUUGGGACAAGCAUGGAUCGCUGACACGCAGGAAACGCGAUAUUACUCCGUAUAAAAAAGAAGAGAAUAAGUAAAGGAAAAUGUAUGUGUAGCGUUUCAUCGUAACCAAUUAUCAGACACGGUCUUCUCUAAUCUCCAUUUUUAUCUCACAACUUGCAGUUGUUUGUAUGUUGAAUCAUGUUUCACAAAAUAAUGCCAUUAUUUAUGAACUUUAUUCUUUAACGUUUCCUUGAGAAUAUUAUCGAAUACGAGGAAACAAAGGAGGAAACAGGAAAAUGGAGGAAAACAAUAAUUCUAAGAAAAUGUUAUCGUUUAUUAUAAUUAUGGAGAAUAAUCGAAUAAUAUUAAUGUAUGGUCGAAUAGAAGGAAACAAAAAUAAAUAAAGAAGAGAUAAGAUAAUAUAUGUACAAAUAAUAACUAUAAGAGAAUGUUCAUUGGAGAAUGAUUUAAUACGUUUGGUACCAUUCCUAUGGUAAUUUUUCUUUUAUAUCUUUUAUACUUUUUUGUGAAGCAGUAUUAUAAUCGGAAAUAUAAAGGAACACAUUAGACGGCUAUUGUAAAAAAAAUUUUCAUUUUAAAUCUGACUGAUCGCGUAAUAAGGGAAUUACCAAUGUAUUAUCCGCAAUUAGAAGAUUCUUUGGAGAUUAUUGGUAAUAGGAGGAAUCCGUCUAUUUCAAUUGUUCUUUGCCCACGCGACAGGUCGUUGUUUCACGCGAUAUAUGAGCCAUUCAGAAGUCACGCUGAUCAACUCUAUAAACUCAAAAAUACAGAAAAGCGACUAUACAAGAUAUGCUACGCUACAUUAUAAAAAUCUAGAAUUUUCCGAUCAGUAAACCGUAGAUUUUUAUGCAUUUAUGCAAAAAUGCACGGAAUAUACGUAAUAUGCAAAGAUAUAUAUACGGGAAUAUUAAAAAUAUUUCUUGUAAUGUUUUGGUAGGUAAAGCAAAUUUCUGUCUAUCUUUUUUUCCUCAAAUUAUGUUCAGAAAAAUAUGCCUAGAUAUUACAAACACUGGUUUCUAAAUUUACUUUAGAAUGAACUUGUGGAAGUUAAUCAUUUGUUUCUUAAGAAUUGAACACUAAUUGUGUACUUACUUAAUGAAGUUAAGCAAUUGUUGAAAACUCGAGUUGAUCGGUUUAUCCUCUGAGAGGUUCAUGUAUGUACAUAACUGGUGGUAAUAAAUGUUUGACGUGGUUGAUGCAUCUUGCAGCAAAUGGUCAGCAAUUUUCUUCCUAGAGGUCAUCGCACAAGGAAGUGAACGGAAACUCGGUCCUCCAGUGGAACUUGAUAGAAAUUGCGUUUAAAAAGGGGACAGAGAAAGCGGAAGACAGAAUUAUUGCGUGAUCUUACCGCAUAUUCUAUCAAUUUAAUGCGGAUAUUCGUGGAAAAUCAUACUUUUAUAUAUAUAAUAAGAAAUGGGAUCUAUUAUAACCGAAGAAUAAUAAUAAGAAGAAUAAUAAGAAGUAUAAGAAUGAAGGAAGACAGAAUUUAAGGUAAAACUACAUAUCAAGUGUAUAAAAUAUUUAAUACAAUAUUGUAUUCAAGUCCAAUGUUUAAUAAAGAACUAUCAUUGGAAAUAAAGACAAGAGGGACUGAAAGAAAAAUAA